UGGGGAAUUUUGGACAAUGGGCGAAAGCCUGAUCCAGCAAUGCCGCGUGUGUGAAGAAGGCCUUCGGGUUGUAAAGCACUUUUGUCCGGAAAGAAAUCCUUGGCUCUAAUACAGUCGGGGGAUGACGGUACCGGAAGAAUAAGCACCGGCUAACUACGUGCCAGCAGCCGCGGUAAUACGUAGGGUGCAAGCGUUAAUCGGAAUUACUGGGCGUAAAGCGUGCGCAGGCGGUUCGCUAAGACCGAUGUGAAAUCCCCGGGCUCAACCUGGGAACUGCAUUGGUGACUGGCAGGCUAGAGUAUGGCAGAGGGGGGUAGAAUUCCACGUGUAGCAGUGAAAUGCGUAGAGAUGUGGAGGAAUACCGAUGGCGAAGGCAGCCCCCUGGGCCAAUACUGACGCUCAUGCACGAAAGCGUGGGGAGCAAAACAGGAUUAGAUACCCUGGUAGUCCACGCCCUAAAACGAUGUCAACUAGUUGUUGGGGAUUC
rnacentral:rRNA from 1 species